GGGGGGGGCGCCCGGCAGCGCCGAGGCCGCCGUGGAGCAGCUCAAGGCCACCGUGGGGAAUCUCAUCCUGGCCCCCGGCCUCGGGGGCACCGUCAGGAGGCAGGCGUCCCGACACGCGGCGUCCCUGACCCCGGCCUGCAGUGACACAGACC